UACAGAGGUCUCAAGCGUUGUUCGGAUUCAUUGGGCGUAAAGGGUGUGUAGGUGGCGCCGUAAGUCGGGUGUGAAAUUUCGGAGCUUAACUCCGAAACUGCAUUCGAAACUGCGCGGCUCGAGUGCCGGAGGGGAGAGUGGAAUUCCUGGUGUAGCGGUGAAAUGCGUAGAUAUCAGGAGGAAUACCGGUGGCGAAAGCGACUCUCUGGACGGCAACU
rnacentral:rRNA from 1 species